AACGCGAAGAACCUUACCUGGGUUUGACAUACACCGGAAACCUGCAGAGAUGUAGGCCCCCUUGUGGUCGGUGUACAGGUGGUGCAUGGCUGUCGUCAGCUCGUGUCGUGAGAUGUUGGGUUAAGUCCCGCAACGAGCGCAACCCUUGUCCUGUAUUGCCAGCGGGUUAUGCCGGGGACUUGCAGGAGACUGCCGGGGUCAACUCGGAGGAAGGUGGGGACGACGUCAAGUCAUCAUGCCCCUUAUGUCCAGGGCUUCACACAUGCUACAAUGGCCGGUACAGAGGGCUGCGAUACCGUGAGGUGGAGCGAAUCCCUUAAAGCCGGUCUCAGUUCGGAUCGGGGUCUGCAACUCGACCCCGUGAAGUUGGAGUCGCUAGUAAUCGCAGAUCACCAACGCUGCGGUGAAUACGUUCCCGGGUCUUGUACACACCG
rnacentral:rRNA from 1 species